CGAGGGCUCUCAUAAAUUAUACCGCACAAAUGGUUUCACGUUAUCUCUUCCUGGAGGUGAAAGGAAACAGCUGAUGGUUCCGGGUCAAGUUGAGGCACCUCUGACCUCCAGCCCCCAGAGCCACAGCGCCGCCUGCUGGUGGAGCCCCGCCAGAACUGACAUAGACUCGUCCAGCCUCCAGGUGCACCCACGCCCUUUUCUUGCACCAAGAAGCUGAGCAGCCUCUCUCUACUCUCUGUGACCGUCCUCUUUGGCCUCCGCAUGGUUCAGCCUGGAAUCCUGAAGAGUCUGCACCGAAACCUGGAUAUUGCCCAGAGUUUACUCUAUCCUGCCCUUUCACCCUCUUACCUGUGUGCUGCACUAUAAAGCCUGCCUGGGGAUCGAGAAGUAUUGCUUCUUCAACUGUCAACAUCAGUGUACAGAGCUUUGGUGGACUUUGGAUUGAGGUGGAAACUCCUUAGCCAAGCCUGAGGAGACGCUGGUGCUACAGGCUCUGAUUUGGAUAACUGGUCUCCAAUUUGUCCAUGAUCUUCCCAGGCCCAAGAUGUCAUUUCAGAGUUAAAUGCUUGUUAAUAUGACAAGAAGACAAAGAGAUAAAGCAUUGUAUAUUUAAAACCACAGAAAAAUCUGUAAGACUGCUGGAUCUCCUCUCUCUCUCCCUGUCUCUCUCUCCAUCCUUUAUGGCUUUUCCCUUAGGAUCUGAAAAAAGGAUAUGAUUAAUAUUUCACAUUUAGUUAAGGACCACAAAGGUAGUAGAAGUCUGGACAAGUCUUCCAAAAUUUUAUUUGUAACUAUUAUAAACAAAUUUUGAAAAGCCAAUUAUUCCCUAGCAUGCUUUAAGUUGACAUCUAACAUUUUUAUCAUAAUUGCAUAAUAGUUACAAAG
rnacentral:lncRNA from 1 species